rnacentral:rRNA from 1 species
GCUCAGGAUGAACGCUAGCUACAGGCUUAACACAUGCAAGUCGAGGGGCAGCAUGGUCUUAGCUUGCUAAGGCCGAUGGCGACCGGCGCACGGGUGAGUAACACGUAUCCAACCUGCCGUCUACUCUUGGACAGCCUUCUGAAAGGAAGAUUAAUACAAGAUGGCAUCAUGAGUCCGCAUGUUCACAUGAUUAAAGGUAUUCCGGUAGACGAUGGGGAUGCGUUCCAUUAGAUAGUAGGCGGGGUAACGGCCCACCUAGUCUUCGAUGGAUAGGGGUUCUGAGAGGAAGGUCCCCCACAUUGGAACUGAGACACGGUCCAAACUCCUACGGGAGGCAGCAGUGAGGAAUAUUGGUCAAUGGGCGAGAGCCUGAACCAGCCAAGUAGCGUGAAGGAUGACUGCCCUAUGGGUUGUAAACUUCUUUUAUAAAGGAAUAAAGUCGGGUAUGGAUACCCGUUUGCAUGUACUUUAUGAAUAAGGAUCGGCUAACUCCGUGCCAGCAGCCGCGGUAAUACGGAGGAUCCGAGCGUUAUCCGGAUUUAUUGGGUUUAAAGGGAGCGUAGAUGGAUGUUUAAGUCAGUUGUGAAAGUUUGCGGCUCAACCGUAAAAUUGCAGUUGAUACUGGAUAUCUUGAGUGCAGUUGAGGCAGGCGGAAUUCGUGGUGUAGCGGUGAAAUGCUUAGAUAUCACGAAGAACUCCGAUUGCGAAGGCAGCCUGCUAAGCUGCAACUGACAUUGAGGCUCGAAAGUGUGGGUAUCAAACAGGAUUAGAUACCCUGGUAGUCCACACGGUAAACGAUGAAUACUCGCUGUUUGCGAUAUACAGCAAGCGGCCAAGCGAAAGCGUUAAGUAUUCCACCUGGGGAGUACGCCGGCAACGGUGAAACUCAAAGGAAU